rnacentral:lncRNA from 1 species
CGCCCCCCACACCCCCCGGGGCCCGCGCGCCCACAUCUGAGGAGCUAUGCGUGACCACCGGGCUGAGGGCCGCCCCUUCGGGGGCAGAACACUCUCUGUCCUCAGGGGCCUUGCCAGGGCUGGGAUCCCUGGGGACCCGGGGAGCUGCCCUUGGGGCCCUCCCUUGGUGUCUCUCCUGGCUGGGGAAAGGGUGACUCCUAAGAACCAUGGAAAUAAGGUUUGCCCCGCGCCCACAUCUGAGGAGCUAUGCGUGACCACCGGGCUGAGGGCCGCCCCUUCGGGGGCAGAACACUCUCUGUCCUCAGGGGCCUUGCCAGGGCUGGGAUCCCUGGGGACCCGGGGAGCUGCCCUUGGGGCCCUCCCUUGGUGUCUCUCCUGGCUGGGGAAAGGGUGACUCCUAAGAACCAUGGAAAUAAGGACACUGGCCAACUCUCAGGGACAAAGAGUCUGAAGGAGAGGAGGUCGGAGGAGUUGGGGAAGGUUCCAGCGGCAAGUGCCAUCGUCCUUAGGACUGUCCUGCGUCUCAGCCAACCUGCCUCUGCCUGCGGACCCUCCGACCCCCAGGCCUCCUGCACAGCGUCCCAGCUUGGAGCCGGGGCGCCUCAGGCUGUCGGGGCAGAGUUACCCACCGGGAGAUGUUAUCUGCAGCUUUAGCAACACGAUGCAGCCGAAGAGAUUAAGAAACCCAANNNNNNNNNNNNNNNNNNNNNNNCGGGGGCGGGGGAGGGGGGGGCAGGAGAGGCGCAGGCCGUGGGGCCAACCCUGCAGGCUUGUCUCAGAUGGAGGAGGGCACGCAUCCUCUCGCUAAGCUCUGCCCCGCAACGUGCACCUCCUGUCACCUGGGGGAGAGGGGGUGGACUGGAACUUGCACUGUUCUCUCCCAGAAUGCAUGAGGGCCUGGGAGGGACCAGGCCUAAAGCCACUCCCUUCCUCCAGCAGCCUCUGGAAGUCCCUCAUCCUGAGCUCAGAAGAGGCAGGAUGGAGUUUUCAAAAGCAAUGUUCUAAGCUGACAAGAGGAAAAAAAUGAACAAAAUCAAACCCAAAGUUGUAUUUCCUUAUUGGCCUGAUUAUCCCAAUCUGCCUGCCCUCUCCAGCGCCUGCUGGGCUUCCCCUGCACCCCAAGGGCACCUGCCGGCUCGGAUUCCUCUCAUGCCCCCAGAAAGCCUGAGCCCAGCCUGCCUCAGCUCCAAUGCCACAGCAGCCAGCCCCCAGGGGCCCUCCAAGACCUCCGCUGACCCCGUGCGUCGCCCUGGCUCCUGGCUGCCCAUCCCAUCCCCUGGCCCUCCCCCGUCUUUGCCAAACCACUGCAGUCCGCUGUCCUCCAUGGAAGUCAACCCCUCACAGGCCAGCACGUAGACACCUGUGCGGGCCGUGCACCUGGCCUGCCUUGGCCUGUUCCGCAGGUACGAGCCACGUCUUGUCCACCUGCUCCUCACUUAACCCUAGGCACAUGGGGCCCAGACGUGAACAGGAGCCAGGAGUCUCUGGGACAAAGGCGCCCCCCCCCAACAUGUAUUCGUUUCUUUUUCUAGGACACAGGACCUCUCCCUGACUCGGACACUGAGGAGACGGCCAAGAAGCAUCCCUGGCACCCAGCCCGGGUUCCGCUGGACCUCAGGUGCGUCACCCAUCUGGUGGCUUCCCAGCUCCCCAG